rnacentral:lncRNA from 1 species
CUGAAUGGGAACUCUUGCUUCUGGCGGGCCUGCCUCCCACAAGGACACUUGAGGCCUUGCCUCUCUUAACCCUUGCUCUUGUUUCUGCAACCAGGGAGACACUUCUGGGGAUUAUCGGAAGAUCCUGCUGAAGAUCUGUGGUGGCAACGACUGAGCGGUGGCAGUGGCUCACCUGUGCCCCCUGCUGGCCCCCUGCUGGCAGUGGCCAGGAAACGUCCCGAAGAGCACACCAGUUUCCCCCAAUCUAUCUAGUACCCACAAGUGCACCCCCCAGCCAUCCACCCAUCCCCAAAGCCAUGACCUUUUCCUUCUGGUCCCCCCUCAUCCACGUAUUGUGCCGAAGGGCCCAGGUGGGCCAGGUUCUCAGGUGACCAUCUCCCUGGCCCUCACAGCCCCUUGCUGUGCAGAAUUGAUGUUUAUCUCUCCUGGUUCCUACACUCAUUCCUCGCUGCUUGUGGCUAAGACUCUUAGCUUUGUUAUAGACGUGUGAUUUUUGUAUUUUUAUUUGAAAACUUUUUUUAACCAUCGCUGCCAGACAGACGCAUACAAGCAUGCUUACUGUAUACAUGUUUCUGGAGAGAAUGGUAGGUGAGCGGGCCACCCGUCUUUGCCUAGGACAAAAGGGAGGUCUUGUAACGGUACUGUGGUGUCUGGUGAGAAUGUGUCAUGAGUUUUGUUUUUGCCAAACUCACACUCUUUUUUAGAAGAGGCCAGAAAAUCAUUUGUUCCACUUUCCAUGUAAAACCAUGCAAGAAUUAAAGCCAGGCCCCGUGCCAGUGGCAGGGAUCCUUGUAGUUUGGAAUGUGCCUUAAACCUGAAUGUCUGUAGCCAAAAGCUGUUUCCAAAUUAAAGUCAGCCAAUUCUGGAACAUUCUGGAAAUGUC